GGCAGGAUGCAAUCUGGACCAUCCAUUUGACUUUUAGUCAUGAAAGGAUUUGGGUCGUUCAAUCAGACGAUAUGUGCAAGAAUUGGUUUUGGUCGUUCGAUCUAACCUACGAACAACAGGAGUGAACCUUGCUUCAGACACUACUUAUUUUUUCUUCCUUGAAGAGGGCUCUGAUGCUUUUCCCCACAAAUAGUCUUCUCCAACUGCAGUAAUUUUUCUAU
rnacentral:lncRNA from 1 species